rnacentral:rRNA from 1 species
CGCCAGACUCCUACGGGAGGCAGCAGUGAGGAAUAUUGGUCAAUGGGCGCGAGCCUGAACCAGCCAAGUCGCGUGAGGGAAGACGGUCCUAUGGAUUGUAAACCUCUUUUGUCGGGGAGCAAAAGACGCCACGCGUGGCGUUCCGAGAGUACCCGAAGAAAAAGCAUCGGCUAACUCCGUGCCAGCAGCCGCGGUAAUACAUAGGGAGCAAGCGUUAUCCGGAAUUAUUGGGUGUAAAGGGUGCGUAGACGGGAAAUUAAGUUAGUUGUGAAAUCCCUUGGCUUAACUGAGGAACUGCAACUAAAACUGAUUUUCUUGAGUACUGGAGAGGAAAGUGGAAUUCCUAGUGUAGCGGUGAAAUGCGUAGAUAUUAGGAGGAACACCAGUGGCGAAGGCGACUUUCUGGACAGUAACUGACGUUGAGGCACGAAAGUGUGGGGAGCAAACAGGAUUAGAUACCCGUGUAG